UGAGUAACACGUAUGCAACCAACCCAUAACAGGGGGAUAACCCGGAGAAAUCCGGACUAAUACCGCAUAAGACCACGAUAUCGCAUGAUAUAGAGGUCAAAUAUUUAUAGGUUAUGGACGGGCAUGCGUCUGAUUAGCUAGUUGGCGGGGUAACGGCCCACCAAGGCAUCGAUCAGUAGGGGUUCUGAGAGGAAGGUCCCCCACAUUGGAACUGAGACACGGUCCAAACUCCUACGGGAGGCAGCAGUGAGGAAUAUUGGUCAAUGGGCGAAAGCCUGAACCAGCCAUGUCGCGUGAAGGAUGAAGGUCCUAUGGAUUGUAAACUUCUUUUGCAGGAGGGUAAAGUGAGUUACGUGUAACUCAUUGCAAGUACCCUGCGAAUAAGCAUCGGCUAACUCCGUGCCAGCAGCCGCGGUAAUACGGAGGAUGCAAGCGUUAUCCGGAUUUAUUGGGUUUAAAGGGUGCGUAGGCGGACUAAUUAGUCAGCGGUGAA
rnacentral:rRNA from 1 species